rnacentral:rRNA from 1 species
GACGAACGCUGGCGGCGUGCCUAAUACAUGCAAGUUGAGCGCUGAAGGUUGGUACUUGUACCAACUGGAUGAGCAGCGAACGGGUGAGUAACGCGUGGGGAAUCUGCCUUUGAGCGGGGGACAACAUUUGGAAACGAAUGCUAAUACCGCAUAAAAACUUUAAACACAAGUUUUAAGUUUGAAAGAUGCAAUUGCAUCACUCAAAGAUGAUCCCGCGUUGUAUUAGCUAGUUGGUGAGGUAAAGGCUCACCAAGGCGAUGAUACAUAGCCGACCUGAGAGGGUGGUCGGCCACAUUGGGACUGGGACACGGCCCAAACUCCUACGGGAGGCAGCAGUAGGGAAUCUUCGGCAAUGGACGAAAGUCUGACCGAGCAACGCCGCGUGAGUGAAGAAGGGUUUCGGAUCGUAAAACUCUGUUGGUAGAGAAGAACGUUGGUGAGAGUGGAAAGCUCAUCAAGUGACGGUAACUACCCAGAAAGGGACGGCUAACUACGUG